rnacentral:lncRNA from 1 species
CUUCAGUUUAGACAUCAUCUAAUUGGACAAUCAUUAAAAUGUCAAUCAUCACACUGAUAAGCAUUCCACUUUGAUUUUACAAUUUGUAUUACACACUUUUACUAAUUUCUUGUUGGUUUACUAUUUUAAUGGACUCUUUAAUUAUUUCCUUUCUGUAAUUAAUUUUCUAAAGUAUACAGGGUCACGCACACUCAACUCAACCAUGGAGAAAAAUUCUAUACUAAUAAUUGCAGAGAAACCACCACUCUAAAGGAUUUAUAGUUAUGAUAAGAUAUAAUCAGAUUUGAAAAUGUGAAUCAGUCUUUUAAAAGUAUUUAUUAAUGUACCGUGUGAGAUAAAACACAGCUUUACGGAGGAAUUGCAAACAUUUCAAUUACAACAUGACUCUCUUCAGUGCCAAUUGUUUUAUGAGCAAAUAUGAACAUGUAUUUUCCCUCUUUUUGAAUAUUUAGGGCCUGAAGGGUGUGAUGUUGUGGCUCUCUGUCCCAGGAGACCCGGGUUGUCCUGGAGAAGUCAAUGAAAAAGGAGAACCAGGAAAACAAGGACCUAAAGGGUUACAAGGUCCAAAAGGAACUCAAGGGAAGUAGUGGUGUGGAUGGAGGUCUUGGACAAAAGGGGAUGUCUGGAUUGAUGAAAAAAAGGAAAAGAAACUUGAGAGACGUUAAGAGAGACAAAGUGUGUGUAUGUGUAGUCAUUAUGUGAAUUCAGCCUAUCACUGCAUUAAGAAGCUUUGCCCCAUGACUCAUAUUCAGUUUACUUGUACAUUGUAAACAGAAAUGAAUUAUUACAUAUAAAAGCUUGUCAAUGCCAAAUCAACUGAUAAAUUAGGAAUCUUCCUCUGAAGAAAACAUAAAACACUUCCUCUUAAGAAAAUAUAAAAUCUGUUAUCAUUAUAUAAUUCGCUUUAUUGCAGAUCCACUGUCACAGAUCCAGAGAAGGUCUAUAUUUCUUGUCUUUUUUCUUGUACUAAAUGAGUUAAAGCAGAAUUGGCUAAAAGUGUGAUUUAUGUGUGCAUAUGAAUCACACAUACUGUUUUGUGCUUUCAUAAUUGAAAAAUAAUAGAAGUUUAGUGAUUAGUGAAGUUUAGUAUAGUCUCUUUUUUGACUGCAGUGUUUAAUACCUCGAGUAAUGUAUAACUGAAAAUGUUGUUAAAAAAAAAAACCUGAUUAUUUCUGUAUGUUUAGUAUAGGAUCUCAAUAUAUAUCUCUUAUGUACAGAUUUUAAUUGGCCAAAAUAUACUUUUUUCUUGUUAAACACUCCAUCAGUCCAUAAAUAAAGAUCAUUGUGUUUGGAUGUAUAGUAACAUUGCACUACUUGACUAAAUAAUCUUUUG